rnacentral:miRNA from 1 species
UCUUUGUAACACCCUUUAAGUACUUGCAAUGUGCUAUCACUCAGUCUCCUCUCUUCCAGUCUAAAUAAAUCCAAGUCUUUCAGUCUUCCAGCACAGAUCUUUCAUGAUUUUUGCACUCUUCACUGGAUCCUUUCCAAUUUCUCCACAGCUUUCUUGAAAU